rnacentral:rRNA from 1 species
GACGAACGCUGGCGGCGCGCCUAACACAUGCAAGUCGAACGAGCGAGAGAGAGCUUGCUUUCUCGAGCGAGUGGCGAACGGGUGAGUAACGCGUGAGGAACCUGCCUCAAAGAGGGGGACAACAGUUGGAAACGACUGCUAAUACCGCAUAAGCCCACGGCUCGGCAUCGAGCAGAGGGAAAAGGAGCAAUCCGCUUUGAGAUGGCCUCGCGCCGAUUAGCUGGUUGGUGAGGUAACGGCCCACCAAGGCGACGAUCGGUAGCCGGACUGAGAGGUUGAACGGCCACAUUGGGACUGAGACACGGCCCAGACUCCUACGGGAGGCAGCAGUGGGGAAUAUUGCACAAUGGGGGAAACCCUGAUGCAGCGACGCCGCGUGGAGGAAGAAGGUCUUCGGAUUGGUAAACUCCUGUUGUUGGGGAAGAUAAAUGACGGGUACCCAAACAAGGAAGUGACGGCUAACUACGUG